UACGAAGGGGGCUAGCGUUGCUCGGAAUCACUGGGCGUAAAGCGCACGUAGGCGGCUUCUUAAGUCAGGGGUGAAAUCCUGGAGCUCAACUCCAGAACUGCCUUUGAUACUGAGGAGCUUGAGUCCGGGAGAGGUGAGUGGAACUGCGAGUGUAGAGGUGAAAUUCGUAGAUAUUCGCAAGAACACCAGUGGCGAAGGCGGCUUACUGGUCCGGUUCUGACGCUGAGGCGCGAAAGCGUGGGGAGCAAACAGG
rnacentral:rRNA from 1 species